UACCAGCACCCCGAGUGGUCGGGACGAUUAUUGGGCCUAAAGCAUCCGUAGCCGGCCUUACAAGUCCCCCGUUAAAUCCAACUGCUUAACAGAUGGGCUGCGGAGGAUACUAUAAGACUAGGAGGCAGGAGAGGCAAGCGGUACUCAGUGGGUAGGGGUAAAAUCCGUUGAUCCAUUGAAGACCACCAGUGGCGAAGGCGGCUUGCCAGAAUGCGCUCGACGGUGAGGGAUGAAAGCUGGGGGGAGCAAACCGGAUUAGAAACCC
rnacentral:rRNA from 1 species